CCUGACCUCAAGUGAUCCACCUGCCUCAGCCUCCCAAAGUGCUGGGAUUACAGGCGUAAGCCACCAUACCCAGCGGUGGAUGAGAUGAUGUAAGGAUAAUGGAUGAGAAUGUACCUCAUAUAUUUUGAAGAUUUAUAUAAGGAAAUGCCACCUUGAAGAGAGAGAAAUGGGAGGGAGUGCGGAAGGCUCCAUUUGACAAGCCCCCUGUUGCCACCACAGGUUGGAAAAGAAGCCAGGAUAGAAGGUGCCUGUACAGGAAAAUGAGCUGUCUGCUAGGAUUUCUCACUGAGUUUUCAAUGUAAUAUCGAAAAGAAAUGGGAAACAUUUUAGGAUCAUUUAUUCUCAGCACAGAAAUAAAGGUGCUUCUUGAGGUUGAAUUGGACUCUGGUGCCUCAUCUUCAGGACUGUCCUCAUUAACUUGUUGGGAUCUUUUACAUGUCACUUAGCAUAGAAUCUCACCAAAUAAUGCUUCAUUCUACACCUUUUAAAACCCACUGGUUUCCAAAAGUGUAACAAGAAUAGAUGGCAAAAGCCCUAAAGUAGAGAGUUAAGUACAAAGCUUCAAAUUGACAUGGUUAAUAAAAAAUUAAGGAUUGCUAUGAGACACUUCAGGCAAAGCUAAACAAACUAGGGGAUUGGGUAGUGUGAAAGCAGAUGAAAUUUAAUUUGGUUAAGUGUAAAGUAAUGCACUUUGGGAAAAAUAAUCCAAACUUCUCAUAAUCUCUGAUAGGCUCUGAACUCAUAGUAAAAUAAUUUAAGAGUCAUGGUUGAUAACUUGGGGAAAAUAUCUGUCUGGUGUGCAGCAGCAAUUUAAAAAGCCAAUAGGAUGCUUGGGGUUAAAAUAAAAAAUAAUACAGAAAAUUUAAGAUAACAUAUAAAACAUUAGUGCUAUUCUGUGUCCAGUUUGGGUUAUCACAGGAGAUAUUAAAUCCCAGAAAAGAGACUUGAAAAUUGUUUAGAAAAGUAGUGAGACUUGGGAUUUAUAUAAGCUUGCUGACUUGGAAAAUGGCAUUUUUGAAGAAGGAAAAGAAGGUGUGAUACAGAGAACAGGAAUAAUAAUAAUUUAGAAAGGGCUACUUCCUCCUUGGUUCUAGUGUCCCAUGGUAUAAAAAGGCAACACUUAGUGAAUUCAACAAAAAAGAAUAUGUAACAAAGAUAGAAGAUGGUCUUUAGCCAGUGUUCCGUAGUUGUAGAUCUCCCUGUUCCAGGAGGGGACCUGUAUUUGAUUAAGGGGCACAGAACUACAUUAACAUUUAUGUCUGUUCAGCUGAGAAUGAGUAAGUGAAGUGUAAGGAAAUCCCCUGUGGGGCGCAGGACGGAGCGCUGCUGCAGAACGAGGAAGGUUCAGUAGAGUGCUGCUCACAGCCGGGAAGGGAAAGCUGAACAAAAAGGCUCAGUGGCAAACCCAACUGAGGCAUGUUCAAUUUUUCUAUUACAUACAGAAUAUUUAUUUUUCCUCCACCUGUACUCUCAUGAUUCAGCAUUUCCCACUGCAGCAAUUGGCAGGGCUGUGUCUCUGAGGCACAGUCUGGUGUAGGCUCUGACAAGGGAUGUCCCCGGGUGGAAUAAGCAGGGGUGGGGAGCAAGGCUAGAAACAUGUUUCCCUAAAGUCAAUAUAUCGUGCUGUCUUUCUCCAGUGGAAACUGUACUAGCAUUAACCUGGCCCUUGACCCCACUUUAACCUCACCUCCUGAAACCCAUAAUCCCGGGUUAUCCAUUUCCCAAAUAUAAGUAACUACUGAGCCAUGCUUCCUGCUGUGAACACAGCCUGCCCGGUGACGGCAGUACUGUUGUAUUGACAGAUAUGUCUGUUACCAGCUGACACCUUGGAGAACUGAUUGAUUGGCUCAAACAAAAAUCUAGAGAUUUAUUUGAAGGGCCAGAUAGGUCCUUCACAGCAUUUUCUCAGUUCAAGAUGUCACUUCUGCCUUACGCACAAGAAGCUAAAGAGCAACCACACUUUUACAGGUAUUUAGCCAACAGAAAACAACCCAAUUUCCACCUAGUCCCUGUGAAAUUAGCAUCUGGGCUGAGAUUUACUGGCCACUCUUCAUAAGCCAUAUAUCAGCUAAAAUGAUGCCUGAAAUCAAUCCCCCAAAUACCGUGAGACUCCACUUUUCCCCUUUCCAUGGUUUCUCACAUCCUUAAAGCACAUUAGCACUCAUACGCCUUGUCUUAGUCUGCUUGGGCUGCCAUAACAAAGUCCCACAGCCUGAGUAACUUAAACAACAGACAUUUAUUUUCUCACAGCUCUGGAGGCUGGAAGGCUGAGGUGAAGCUGUUGGCCAGGUUGGUUUCUUCUGAAGGCCUCUGCCUCGUUUGCAGACAGCCAUAUUCUUCCAGUCUUACAUGGUCACCCUUCUAUGUCUGUGUCCAAAUUUCCUCUUCUUAGAUGAACACCAGCCAUAUCGGAUUAGUGCCUACCCUAAUGACUUCACUUAAUUACCUCUUUAAAGGCCCUGUCUCCAAAUACAGUCACAUUCUGAGAUAUUGGGGGUUAGGACUUCAACAUAUGAAUUUUGGUGGGAGACACAAUUCAGUCCAUAACACCCCCAUUUUACCAUCGGGAACUUAAAAUUCAAGAUUUAAUUACUUUCCCUAGACCAUGUGGCAGGCCGCUAUUAAAUUGUCAUUAGAAUUCCCAGGCCCCCUUCUCUGUGUAUGAGAAGCUUCCAAACCACAAGCUGCCCCCUGCUCACUUGCCAAUCAAGGACUCUUCUUAAAACACAGCAUAGCUCCACCACCCAAAACCCUCAGUAGCAUUUUAAAUUCAGGAAAUCUGUUUUAUCACAGGAAAAAAAAAAUUAGUGCAGAGAUAUGUGAAUGAAGGGACAGAUCUCUCCAUGCAGUGCCCCAGGCGCUGGGGAGCCAUAUUGUUCGUGCUGGGUGAUAUUUUUCCAAACAAUACUCCGCAGUGCAGCACCAGCCAAGCAACAGCCCAGCAACCACAUGCAACCUGUUCCUGCCAGUGGGGAUCACCACAUUCCGUACAAAAAUAAAGAGCUGUGUUUACUGCCCAAUUCACUCAUCAAGAACACUCUGAUCCCAGAGCAAGCAUAGGGAACCAUUAUAUUCCUCCUUCACAGCCCUUCCAGGGGAAUUAGGAAUACAGCUCUGCUGUCAUUUUAUUUUCUGCCCAGAGCCCUAUGAAAGUGAACUCUGAUUAUUAAUAUUUUAAGCAUGUAAACAGCAAAACCCCAUCCAUGUCCUCGGUCUUGGUAUCAGGAUCCGGCACCGUGUGGGAGGACCCAGAAGCUGAGGGGCAGGCUGUGGUUCAGACAUUGAGCACCCAGGAGCCAUGUGGCUGGGUGUCUGUCAGUUAGGAAUCCAGGUAUCGGCCCUGGCCUCAUGAGUGUUUGUGUCCAAGCUAGCCGCCUUCUUCUUUUGUACAAAUGUAAGGGGUACAAGUGUAAUUUUGUUAUACAGCUAUGUUGUGUGAUGAUGAAAUCUGGGCUUUUAGUGUAUACAUCACCCGAAUAAGGUAUGUACAUAGUACCAUUCAGAGAUUUCCCAUCAUCUACCUUCUUUCCACCCUCCCACCCCUCCUCGUCUCCAAUGUCUAUCAUUCCACACUCCAUGUCCACGUGCACACAUUAGCUCCCACUUGUGAGAACCAAGCUAGCCUUCUAAACCUCUCCAGGAUCUUUCUCUGGUGACAACAAAGAAAUGAAGCAAGAGAGUGAUCGGAGAUGAGGGCAGGGGCUGCAGACUUGGCCAAGGCGUAGCGCAUAGCAAAGGCCCAAAGAACUGAGUACCCUUCCAGUUUAAUUGGUCCUUCAGAAGAAUGGAGAGAAUAGUACAUUGGGGGACUAAGUGGGAAGAGAUGAGAAUUGUAUUAAAAGCAAUACAAAUGUUUCUUUUUAAGGAAUGGAAAGAGAUUCUUGAGAAAGGCGACCCACACACGCGCACAAGAAAACAUCAGCACUCAUGCAGGAACAACGAGAGGCCAUAGGGAAGUAUUUUUAGCAAGUGGAAGUCAAUCACAGCAGGGAGAGAAGAGGGGUGGGUAAAGAAGGGGCCUGGAGCCUCGCAAGUAAGCCCAGAGCCCUGCAGUGGAAGCCACCUAAACCAACACCAUUCUCCCUCAUCCCGUGCCUCGCCAGGAUCGCUUGGAAUGCCACUGGAGAGGCAAGAUGGUUUUAGAAACAGGAAAUUGGAAGUGUUCUGCUUAAAAUGCUUCAGGCUCUGUGUGAGAGAGAAAGAGAGGGUCUGUGUGUCGAUAAGAGGAGUGCUUGUGUGGACGCUCCCAGGUCGGCUUGCGGGCAGCUGGGCGGCAUCAGGCGGGCCUGGCCUUGUUGACUGCUCUCAUCAACAAAGGCUCGCUUGUUUUGCUAGCCAUUUUCCUUGCAUUUCAGAACCAAGGGUCCUUUCUUCUUUUUUCUUCUCUUGCAUCAGAGAAAGCUGUUGUGUGCGGAUGCUCAGGAAGGUAAACAUAUGCAUUUUAAUAUCUGUGGCUCCCCCACAGUCAGUGAGCUAUUUCCUCCACCCAGGUGGAAAGAGGAUAGCGGGCCUCUCUGACAUGCUGGUUAGUCUGAAAACAGACCGCUAAAUGCGUAAUGAAGAGCCUCCGAGGAGUCAAUCUGCAUGUUAAAAUGGUGUUCAGCAGCCCGGGCUGUCACACAACAUAACUUGAAGAUGAAUGUGCAUCCAAUCAGACGGCCAAUCGCUGACUGGGAGGGUCCUGGCUAUUAGGAUUACCUGACUGCUCGGUGGCAGUGGGGUUUCCAAGGGGCCACAAGUUAACCAGCACCCCCCAAAUCUGUGACAAGACAAAUGAGCCCUCUCUUGGGCAUCCCCAGAUUUGCAUGGUCAGAAUGAUGCCGAGAGACAGUCUGAACCAGAGAGGAACAGUUAAAGAAGCGGGUAUUGAUCCCAACAGAAAGACACAGGGCUUUCAGCACGUUGGAGUCCAGGGGCUGGAAGCGAUAACAAAGGAAAAUGUUCAGCUUGACACUUGGAAGCAGAAAGGCAGGUUCUGAGCAGCCCCACACCAGCAGGUACUACCUGCCAUAAGGUUUGUGUUGCAGCCACUGCAGUCACUGCUGCUGCCACCACAACUACAGUUCAUAGCCAGUAACAGCCUUCACAUGAAUGAUGUGUAGACACCACUUUUGUCUCUGAACGCUUGACAACAAUUAGGACCUGACUCCAGGAGCAGGACGUCACAGGAACACCGGAAUACUGGAGAAAUGAGGUUAGAGCAAAGAAAUUAGCCAUCUGCCUGGUGAAGACUGUGUCCUCGAGGUAGCAUUUACAUAGGAACAACAGGCAACACGUAUCCAUUUUCAUUAUCCUGUGCUACAGAUAGACAGAGGACAAAAGGGCUUUAAGAACCGUGUUUUCUUUAAGGCCCCUGUACUUAGCGAGGCUGUAUGUCCUUUUUUCCCCUUCAUUCAAAAUGCCUGCUGGAGCUGCAGCUAAAUGACAAGCCCUGGGGAAGGAUUCCUAUCAGCUGGAAGUUUUAUGCAUUGCUCCUUUUUUGAGGUUCCCAAACACUGAAAAUAGGCAGCCUAAAGCCAAAUUUGGAGCAUAGGAAAGGGCAGCAAAUACAAUUGUAAGGCUCUACUUUGAAUGUUGCAAAUCUCCAUCUGAAAGAUGGAGGGAAAAAAUAUUUUUAGGUGAAAGGUGAUUCCCAAAUUGAGCCCCAAAGAUGUUCCAGCAGCUCAGAGCUGUGGGGUUGACAUCAGAGGCCUCCUGUCUUAAGUGAAGCCUCACCCAUAGACAUUGCAGGUUCUGGGUGCGCACACCACUAGCUCUGGCCAGCUCCUCGGCAGUAAAGAAGCUCAGUUUGCAGUUGAUCCUUGGCUGAACUUUGCCAUUCAUUACAGGACAACCAAAAGGGGCACCAGGAAGGCCCACCUCCAUUUAGCAUGUCUAUUGCCCUCCUAAGAGCCCUGUUAAAGUGGGGAAAGCCACUUUUCUACAUAUAUAUAUCAGCUAACACUUUUAUCUUUGUGUCCAUGUAAACUGUUAAUAUUAGUUUCACCAUGCCAGCUUGAUCAAAAAGUCAGUCCCAGCACAGUGGCUCACACCUGUAAUCCUAGCACUUUGGGAGGCUGAGGUGGGAGGACUGGUUGAGGCCAGAAGUUUAAGACCAGCCCGGGCAACAUAGUGAGACCCCCAUCUUUACCAAAACAAUAUUUUAAACUAGUUGGGCAUGGUAGUGAGCUCCUAUAGUCCAAGCUACUCGAGAGGCUGAGGCAGGAAGACUGCUUGAGUGCAGAAGUUUGAGGCUGCAGUGAACUAUCAUUGUGCCACUACACUCCAGACUGAGUAACAAAGUGAGACCUUGUCUCUAAAAAAAUCAUAAUAAAAAGUCAGUGAAAGUAUUGAAAAA